AGAGUUUGAUCCUGGCUCAGAACGAACGCUGGCGGCGUGCCUAACACAUGCAAGUCGAACGGAAGUAAGAAGCUUGCUUUUUACUUUAGUGGCGCACGGGUGAGUAACGCGUAGAUAAUCUGCCUGAUGAUUUGGGAUAACACUUCGAAAGGGGUGCUAAUACCGAAUAAGCCCACGGAGUCCUUGGACUCUGCGGGAAAAGGGGGGGACCUUUAUCGGCCUUCCGUCAUCAGAUGAGUCUGCGUACCAUUAGCUAGUUGGUAGGGUAAAGGCCUACCAAGGCGACGAUGGUUAGCUGGUCUGAGAGGAUGAUCAGCCACACUGGAACUGAGACACGGUCCAGACUCCUACGGGAGGCAGCAGUGGGGAAUUUUGCGCAAUGGGGGAAACCCUGACGCAGCAACGCCGCGUGAGUGAUGAAGGCUUUCGGGUCGUAAAGCUCUGUCAGAAGGGAAGAAAUGUAGGUGGCUAAUAUCCAUUCUACUUGACGGUACCUUCAAAGGAAGCACCGGCUAACUCCGUGCCAGCAGCCGCGGUAAUACGGAGGGUGCGAGCGUUGUUCGGAAUUAUUGGGCGUAAAGCGCGUGUAGGCGGUUUUUUAAGUCUGAUGUGAAAGCCCUGGGCUCAACCUGGGAACUGCAUUUGAAACUGGCGAGCUAGAGUUUGAGAGAGGUAAGUGGAAUUUCAGGUGUAGCGGUGAAAUGCGUAGAGAUCUGAAGGAACACCAGUGGCGAAGGCGACUUACUGGCUUAAAACUGACGCUGAGGUACGAAAGCGUGGGUAGCAAACAGGAUUAGAUACCCUGGUAGUCC
rnacentral:rRNA from 1 species